UCUCCCAGGGUGUGGCCCCGUUACAGGGCACCAUUCUGUACAGAAAUGUGUCAGAGUGUGAAUACAGGCUAUCAGACACUCGUGUUCGGAAGUGGCACCCGACUUUUGAUCAUCCCAAAUAUCACAGACCCCGAUCCCGCCGUGUACCAGCUUAGAAACCCUAAAUCCAACAUUUCCGUCUGCCUAUUCACCGAUUUUGAUUCUGAAACCAAUGUGUCACAAAAGACGGGGCCCACAGUGUUCAGCACAGACAAAACCGCGCUGGACAUGAGAGCCACAGGUUCCAAGAGCAACGGGGCCCUGCUCUGGAGCAACAGCAAUGAUUUUGAAUGCCAAGGCGCCUUCAACGAGACCUUCUACUCCAGCUCAGUCUUUCCCUGUGAUGCCACAUUGGUUGAGAAAAGCUUUGAAACAGACAUGAACCUAAACUUCCAAAACCUGUCAGUGUUCGGGUACCGCAUCCUCCUCCUGAAAGUGGUCGGGUUCAACCUGCUCAUGACGCUGCGGCUGUGGUCCAGCUGAGGUCACCAAGAAUGCGAGAGCCGAGUGCUCCCUGCCCCCGACUCCUCACCGCCCUCCUCUGCCUCUUUCAGCAGAGAGGCACGCCCUCAGCCUCCAUGAAGGAGAAGGCUCCCUCUGCAGCUCUGGCAAUGCCACCAACUGGAUCCUACCAGAUAUUUGUGAUUGAGAUGCUGGAGAGCUACCAAGCGCUGCUGCCACCCCUCUGUUCCCUCACUGCUGCUUGUCACUGCCUAACGUUCCCGGCAAAGGCAGGGGCUGCUGCAACCUCUCCUGGCUGUGGAGACGGCCCCUACCCCUCCCAGAGACUGCUUCUGAUGUCCCACAGUGCGAUGGAUCCCCAGGGGCUUCUCCCAAGCUCUAGCUCCUGGAGAAUGUUGUGAGGAGCUUAUAUUUUUUAAAUAGUGUUCAUAAAGAAAGACAUAUUACCCUUUCUCCCAAGAUGUGGGGAAAACUCUCUCAUUAUCUAGGCCCUGCUAUGCUGUGUAUCCGAGCCACAUUGUGUGUUCUGCUUCCACGGCUUCAUUAAAAGUGAUUUGGAAGAUCA